CACACUGAUUUUUGACACGUUGUAUGGCACUUGCAUUGUUUUCAAGUGUCAAUUGGAUGGGAAAACUGUUUGAAAUCUAAACUGUCCAACAGGGUAAUGUCACAUGGUAAAGUGUAAAUUAAAGUGUACACCAUCGUGUAUAUGUAGCAAGAUUCUUAUCGAUUGAACUUUCCUAUUUGUACGUUGAUGUUUGACACGUUUUUUGACACUUAUCUUGUUGUCAAGUGUCAGUUGGAUGGGAAAACUGUUUGAAAUUUAUACAAUCUAACAGGGUAAUAUCACGUGGCAAAGUGUAAACAAAAGUGUACACCAUAGUGUACAUGUAGCAAGGUUCUUACCGAUUGAACUUUGCUAUUUGUACACUAAUUUUAGACACGUUGUUUGGCAGUUGCAUUGUUGUCAAGUGUCAAUUGGAUGGGAAAACUGUCUGAAUUAAACAGUUCAAUAGUGUAAUGUCACGUUGUAUAGUGUAAAUUAAAGUGUACACCAUCGUGUACAUGUAGCAAGAUUCUUACCGAUUGAACUUUCCUAUUUGUACGCUAAUGUUUGACACUUUUUUGACACUUGCAUUGUUGUCAAGUGUCAGGUGGAUGGGAAAACUGUUUGAAAUUUAUACAAUCUAACAGGGUAAUGUCACGUGGUACGGUGUAAACAAAAGUGUACACCAUAGUGUACAUGUAGCAAGGUUCUUACCGAUUGAACUUUGCUAUUUGUACACUGAUUUCUAACGCGUUGUUUGACACUUGCAUUGUUG
rnacentral:lncRNA from 1 species